GGGUGUAAGUGGUUUAAUGCAAUGGUGGUGUCACCGAGGUGGGAGGUGCCUCUGUAAGCGAUUACACUAGGUCUAUAAUUCCUUACACAGUGGAAAAGUGUAAUUUGUACCAAAACUCGAACACUGCUCCCACGUUCUGGCAGCAUGGCUCCCCAUGGAGGGGUUGGACCUGUUUUUGGUGCAACCUUUGGAAGAAUGGUGACAAUGUUAGGGGGAGGCCAAUUG
rnacentral:lncRNA from 1 species